ACCACGGCAGCUGCUGAUCACCAGCAAACUAUCAGCAACCUACUGCUUGUAAUCACGAAUAUAAUAUCUUCUCUACAUGAUGCACUCAUGCCUUAUGUAUUGUAUUUUUGUUUUUUUUUGAUAUCAUAAGGUAAAAAGUAAAAACCAAUAGCCAGCCAUGUUGUACUAAUUGUUGUGACUGUUGUGACUUGUAGACUGUAGUUAACAUAAUAUGUCAUUGUUUAUUGUUUUGUAACUACUUAAUAGUUAGUAUUUAUUCGUCAGUGAUUAGUGUCCCACUCGCAUCUAAUGGUUAAUAUUAUUAGGUGACCGUUGAAAAUAAUCUGUCAAACAAUACUAUUGCCAUUAUUAAGUCGCAGUACGUGUGUGAUUUUGAAUUUAUUCACAGUUUACGAAGAUACGACUAACUGCUCGACAUUAUGGUUCUUGAGAAAACAGAGUGCAGUUCCAUAUUGGAUUUUGUUGAGCUGGCCCAAUCGGUUGGUGUCAAAAUGUCACCUAAUGUUGCAAGUGCAAUGUUAGAACUAUUAGACUUAGGUUAUUCUCCGUCAAUCGUCAGAAAAGUUUGUCGUGAGAUUGCCAAAUACAAAAGUCGACACGAAAAAACUGGUACGACAAUGAAUAGUACUAGUUCCAAAUAAAAACUGUAUAGUUUGCUUAUUUUUUUUUUUAACAUUUGUUGACAAUUUUAUAGAAACAUAAUAAUAAGACAAUAUUCAAUUGAUCGCCAUACAUGCAUUAUAAAUGUAAAAUGUAUUGAGAUUAGUUUCUGAAUUUGUAUAAAAAUAGUAAUAUCACUAAAUAUUGUAAGAAUAAUUUUUAUUUAUUUAAAUAUUUAAGUAUUAUAUUUAAGUUUAUAGAGUUAAAUGUUGUUGCACUUGACAUUUUAUGUUAAAUGAAAAAAAACUAUUGAGUUAUGAAAAUAUAAAUAUAAAAAAAUAAUUUUUUAUAAAUAAAAACUAAGAUUGUAAUUUUGGUUUAUUAAUAAAAUUACAACAGAUUAUU